rnacentral:rRNA from 1 species
AUUGAACGCUGGCGGCAGGCCUAACACAUGCAAGUCGAGCGGAUGAAGGGAGCUUGCUCCUGGAUUCAGCGGCGGACGGGUGAGUAAUGCCUAGGAACCUGCCUGGUUGUGGGGGAUAACGUCCGGAAACGGGCGCUAAUACCGCAUACGUCCUGAGGGCGUAAGUGGGGGAUCUUCGGACCUUACGCUAUCAGAUGAGCCUAGGUCGGAUUAGCUAGUUGGUGGGGUAAAGGCCUACCAAGGCGACGAUCCGUAACUGGUCUGAGAGGAUGAUCAGUCACACUGGAACUGAGACACGGUCCAGACUCCUACGGGAGGCAGCAGUGGGGAAUAUUGGACAAUGGGCGAAAGCCUGAUCCAGCCAUGCCGCGUGUGUGAAGAAGGUCUUCGGAUUGUAAAGCACUUUUGGUUGGGAAGAAGGGCAGUAAGUUAAUACCUUGCUGUUUUGACGUUACCAACAGAAUAAGCACCGGCUAACUUCGUG